rnacentral:rRNA from 1 species
GACAUUACACAAGCCCACGCCCUGGUCCGCCCAGGGGCAGAUGGGGGGCGCGCGAGCGCCCAACCCCACACUCUCUGCGUACGAAUCCCUGUUGCUUCCCCGGGGAGGGACAAACCACCCCGGGGGAGGACCCCCCAAGAGCACACGAUGCCGACCAACAGACCUUUCCACCCCCCCCUGUCUGAAGGGCCAGAGUGCCAAGAAGGAAGGAGCGAGCGAGACGAAUGCAAAAAACUUUCAACAACGGAUCUCUUGGUUCCCGCAUCGAUGAAGAACGCAGCGAAAUGCGAUAAGUAAUGUGAAUUGCAGAAUUCAGUGAAUCAUCGAAUCUUUGAACGCACAUUGCGCCCCCUGGCAUUCCGGGGGGCAUGCCUGUUCGAGCGUCUCCGGGAAGAAGACUCACGCGGCGCAAAGCGUGGUGGUGGCGGCGGCGGCGAUCCCGAGAGGGCAGCCACCCCGGCGGAAUGGAUGGGCGGACGACUGCCGCGUCCCUGAGCGUGACAUUUUGCUAUCGCCUCGAGCGCGGCGAGGCACCCAGCCCUGGCCAGUCGCCUCCCGCAUCGGAGAGUGUGAUAUCUUGCUAUCGCCUCCAGAGCGGCGAGGCUGCCAGCCCUGCCGCCCGGGCAGGGCGGGGAGACCUGUGUCAUUGGAACUCCUCGAAUCAGGUAGGGAUACCCGCUGAACUUAAGCAUAUCAAAAA